rnacentral:rRNA from 1 species
AACGAACGCUGGCGGCAGGUCUUAGGCAUGCAAGUCGAACGGGUGUAGCAAUACAUCAGUGGCGCACGAGUGAGUAACGCGUGGGAAACUGCCCAUCACUGGGGAAUAACGUUUGGAAACGAACGCUAAUACCGCAUACGCCGGAAACGGGAAAGAUUUAUCGGUGAUGGAUGUGCCCGCGUUGGAUUAGCUUGUUGGUAGGGUAAUGGCCUACCAAGGCGAUGAUCCAUAGCUGGUCUGAGAGGACGACCAGCCACGUUGGAACUGAGACACGGUCCAGACUCCUACGGGAGGCAGCAGCUAAGAAUAUUGGACAAUGGGGGAAACCCUGAUCCAGCCAUGCCGCGUGAAUGAAGAAGGCCUUCGGGUUGUAAAGUUCUUUUAGUCGUGAAGAUGAUGACAGUAGCGACAGAAAAAGCACCGGCUAACUUCGUGCCAGCCGCCGCAGUAAGAC